rnacentral:lncRNA from 1 species
AUAAAUUCUGUGACUUCUCACAAGGAUUGCCCUGGUCAAGAUCUUACUAAAUUAAAACACAAAGCAUUCUCUCCAAUUUUUUGGAGUGGUCAAUCCCAUCUUGACUUACGCACCGACUUCACAAGUACUUGACUAUGCCCAAAAAUCUUUCAAUCCUGAAUUAAAAAUUCAGGUAGUCCGACAUCAAAGCACAAUAAGUUAUUUGCAAGUCACCGUGGUGAUCCC